rnacentral:lncRNA from 1 species
CCAACCUCGUCAUUCUUGCCUUGUUAUUUCUCUCAUAUUCCUUCUUGAUAUUGUUCAUAUGAAGUAGACAUUUAUGUUGCUUAAGAACAAGAAUCUACACACAGAAGAUUAAAAAAAAAAGAUAAGAGAGAAUAUGAGUAAAAACAAAAAUAAAAUAUUCACGAAAUCUUAAUGGCUAGAGAAAAAGGUAAGCAAUUCAAGAUAGUCAAAGUAUUCUGAAAGGAAAAGUUUCGCAAGAUGCAUAGUCUUCAAGACAGAUCGUAUGUUAUUCAAGAUUUCUUCUUACAAAAGAAGAUGUUUGCAUAACCAUUCAUAUCACAUUACUCUUCAGUUAAAAUGGGUAAGUCAAAGCAGUGUAAGGUUCAAAAGAGGAAUUUUGAGAAGGAGAUUAAGAAGUUGAUGAAGAAAAAAACAACGGAAGAGAAGCAGAAGUCUGAGGAAGCUUCAACGGUUCAGAAGUCCGAGGAAGUCUCAAAAGUAGUAUGCACAAUUGUUGGGUCCCAAAGUGGACAAAAUAGAGACAACAAUGAUAAAGCCUAAGAAGAAGGAGGAUCCAAUGGAAGAAGAG